UGUUUAAUCCUGGAAGCCUGGUUUGCUACUCAUUGGCCAUGGAGAGGUAAUCUGAAAGUAUGGAUUUUUUGAGACACAAUUUCAAGCCCUAAAACUGUUUUCCUUUUUUUUUUUUUCUGUUUUUCUAGGAAACAUCUAGCCACUUGGAGACCUUGAAAGUCCCCCUCAAAGCAAGGAGACUGUCUUUGGGAUCUUCAAGAUGCAUGAAAGCAAAAGUUACUCAA
rnacentral:lncRNA from 12 species